CAAUAGCGUAUAUUAAAGUUGUUGCAGUUAAAAAGCUCGUAGUUGGAUUUCGGAUGGGACUUGCCGGUCCGUCGUUUCGAUGUGCACUGGCCAGUCCUAUCUUGUUGUCGGGGACUAGCUCCUGGGCUUCACUGUCCGGGACUAGGAGCUGACGAGGUUACUUUGAGUAAAUUAGAGUGUUCAAAGCAAGCCUACGCUCUGAAUACAUUAGCAUGGAAUAACACGAUAGGACUCUGGCUUAUCUUGUUGGUCUGUGAGACCAGAGUAAUGAUUAAGAGGGACAGUCGGGGGCAUUCGUAUUUCAUUGUCAGAGGUGAAAUUCUUGGAUUUAUGAAAGACGAACUUCUGCGAAAGCAUUUGUCAAGGAUGUUUNCAUUA
rnacentral:rRNA from 1 species